UAAAAAUUGUAGCCAAACAAACCUAAACUACCAAAAAACAAAACAAACCAUUUAAUUUAAUAGUAUGGGCGAUAGAAAUUUACUAUGAGCAAUAAAAAAGUACCGCAAGGGAAAGAUGAAAUAAAAAUGAAAUAAAUAAUAAAAACAAAGAAAAGAAAAGACUAAACCCUGUACCUUUUGCAUAAUGGUCUAGUAAGUUCAACCUAACAAAAAGAAAUAAAGUUAGCCACCCCGAAACUAGGCGAGCUACUUAAGAGCAGCAUAAUCAGAGCUAACCCGUCUCUGUGGCAAAAGAGUGGGACGACUUUUAAGUAGAGGUGAAAAGCCUAACGAGCCUAGUGAUAGCUGGUUGCUUGAGAAAUGAAUAUUAGUUCAGCUUAAAGUAUUUUUAAUAAUUAAAAAUAAAUAUAGCACUUUAAAGUUAAUUAAUAGGGGUACAGCCCUAUUAAUAAAGGAUACAACCUACAUAAUGAAUAAAGAUUAUAUUAACAAAAGAAAUUAACCAUGUAGGCCUAAAAGCAGCCACCAUAAGAAAGCGUCAAAGCUCAACUUACAACCCUCCCCUUAUUAUACUAAUAAAAAAAAUCUAAAUUCACAAAACAUAUCAAGCCUAUCUACUAGUAGAUGAGUUUAUACUAGAAUGAGUAACAAGAACAAAUUCUCUACAUGCAAGCGUAAAUCAGAACGAAAAAAUCACUGAUAAUUAACAAUUUAAAAUACUCAUCAACGAGAAAAACACAUUAAAACAAUUGUUAACCCAACACAGGAGCAUUAAAAAAGAUUUAAAGAUUAAAAAGGAACUCGGCAAUCACAGAGCUCCGCCUGUUUACCAAAAACAUCGCCUCUUGCCCCCCUAAUAUAAGAGGUCCCGCCUGCCCAGUGAUUAAUUUUAACGGCCGCGGUAUCAUGACCGUGCAAAGGUAGCGUAAUCACUUGUCUUUUAAAUAAAGACCUGUAUGAAAGGCAAAACGAAAGCUCAACUGUCUCUUUAAUCUAAUCAGUGAAAUUAAUCUCUUCGUGCAGAAGCGAAG
rnacentral:rRNA from 1 species